UGCAGGCCAGAAGGUCCAAAGAUACCUAUAAAGCACCAGGCAUUUAAUCUACAGUUGGAGAUUAAAAUCAGAAAC
rfam:Fukomys damarensis contig82462, whole genome shotgun sequence.